rnacentral:misc_RNA from 1 species
AAAAAAAAAAAAAAAUUUAUAUAUAUAUAUAUACUACAUGAAAUUGUUCUACCUUAAAUCUAAUUAUAACACUUGAUUAUGGGUUUUCAAAUAUAUCUCCAGAAAUUAAAAUACAUAACAGAAAACAGAACUCGCUCUUGUUUUCCCAUCUUCAAUCGAUCAAAAAGAGUUGAAAUUAUGUGAAAUUAUAACAAUAUAAUAUAGGAAGUGGAUUUAAGUAGUGAGAUUCACGUUGAAAUCUACUCCUUGCAAAAACCUGGCGCACAUGCGCUGGGCACAUAUGUAAUAACCUUUCUGAAAUUACUGGCAAACGUAGAGAGAAGAGAUCGAGUGCGAGAGGGUACCUACCUUCAUCUGGGUCUGCAGUAGCAUUCGGAGCACCAGAGGCGUGAAGUUGAGAGAAAAAGAUGAAGUAGAUACAACACAACACUGAAGAAGGUUGCAGCAGCUUCGCAAUCGAAUCAAUAAUCCUCUCUGUCUCUGUUUCUGUCCCUCUGCUCUUUACACAAGGGAUAAGACAUCUACUCCUUUGCUUUAAUGGCAAGAUUCCAUCGUCAUCCGUACCUAAUCUCUUUUUAUUUCUAAUUGUAAUUAUUAUUUUCCAAAGUGAGAGGACGAAAGAGCUUAAAAUGCUUUUGUUUCUCAUAAUUAUAUCAAAUUUUUAUUUAUACAUAUAUAGAGCUAAACCUUAAAAAAUAUUGAAAGUCACCUUAUCUGAAA